GAGUGAAGCGGCAACAGCUCAAAUUUGAAAUCUGGCCCCCAGGGCCCGAGUUGUAAUUUGCAGAGGAUGCUUUUGGCGACGCGCCUUCCGAGUUCCCUGGAACGGGACGCCAUAGAGGGUGAGAGCCCCGUCUGGUCGGACGCCGAGCCUCUGUAAAGCUCCUUCGACGAGUCGAGUAGUUUGGGAAUGCUGCUCUAAAUGGGAGGUAUAUGUCUUCUAAAGCUAAAUACCGGCCAGAGACCGAUAGCGCACAAGUAGAGUGAUCGAAAGAUGAAAAGCACUUUGAAAAGAGGGUUAAAUAGUACGUGAAAUUGUUGAAAGGGAAGCGCUCACGACCAGACUUGAGCCCGGUGAAUCACCCAGCGUUCUCGCUGGUGCACUUCGCCGGGCCCAGGCCAGCAUCGGUUCGCCGCGGGGGAGAAAGGCGUCGGGAACGUGGCUCCCUCGGGAGUGUUAUAGCCCGUCGCACAAUACCCUGGGGCGGACCGAGGUUCGCGCAUCUGCAAGGAUGCUGGCGUAAUGGUCGUCAGCGACCCGUCUUGAAACACGGACCAAGGAGUCGUCUUCGUAUGCGAGUGUUCGGGUGUAAAACCCCUACGCGUAAUGAAAGUGAACGCAGGUGAGAGCUUCGGCGCAUCAUCGACCGAUCCUGAUGUUCUCGGAUGGAUUUGAGUAAGAGCAUACGGGGCCGGACCCGAAAGAAGGUGAACUAUGCCUGUGUAGGGUGAAGCCAGAGGAAACUCUGGUGGAGGCUCGCAGCGGUUCUGACGUGCAAAUCGAUCGUCAAACAUGGGCAUGGGGGCGAAAG
rnacentral:rRNA from 1 species